rnacentral:rRNA from 1 species
GACGAACGCUGGCGGCGUGCCUAACACAUGCAAGUCAACUUGACUGAAGGAGCAAUCUGACAGUAGAGUGGCGCAAGGGUGCGUAACGCGUAAGUAACUUGCCCCAAGGUAAGGAAUAACGUCGAGAAAUCGGCGCUAAUACCUCAUAAUGCAGCGGAUCCGCAUGGAUAUGUUGUUAAAGGUUUACCGCCUUGGGAUAGGCUUGCGUCUGAUUAGCUAGUUGGUGUGGUAACGGCACACCAAGGCUACGAUCAGUAACUGGUCUGAGAGGAUGAUCAGUCACACUGGAACUGAGACACGGUCCAGACUCCUACGGGAGGCAGCAGUGAGGAAUAUUGGGCAAUGCUCGAAAGAGUGACCCAGCAACGCCGCGUGGAGGAUGAAGGUAUUCUAUAUCGUAAACUCCUGUGAGAGCAGACGAAAGACAGAUUAUUAAUCUGGAUGACUGUAUGCUCAGA